GAUGAACGCUGGCGGCGUGCCUAAUACAUGCAAGUCGAGCGAACGGACGAGAAGCUUGCUUUUCUGAUGUUAGCGGCGGACGGGUGAGUAACACGUGGAUAACCUACCUAUAAGACUGGGAUAACUUCGGGGAACCGGAGCUAAUACCGGAUAAUAUUUUGAACCGCAUGGUUCAAUAGUGAAAGACGGUCUUGCUGUCACUUAUAGAUGGAUCCGCGCUGCAUUAGCUAGUUGGUAAGGUAACGGCUUACCAAGGCAACGAUGCAUAGCCGACCUGAGAGGGUGAUCGGACACACUGGAACUGAGACACGGUCCAGACUCCUACGGGAGGCAGCAGUAGGGAAUCUUCCGCAAUGGGCGAAAGCCUGACGGAGCAACGCCGCGUGAGUGAUGAAGGUCUUCGGAUCGUAAAACUCUGUUAUUAGGGAAGAACAUAUGUGUAAGUAACUGUGCACAUCUUGACGGUACCUAAUCAGAAAGCCACGGCUAACUACGUG
rnacentral:rRNA from 1 species